rfam:Triticum aestivum genome assembly, contig: Triticum_aestivum_CS42_TGACv1_scaffold_051831_1BS
CAAAUACUCCCUCCAUCCAAAAAUACUUGUCAUCAAAAUGGAUAAAAGGAAAUGUAUCUAGACGUAUUUUAGUUUUAGAUAGAUCUAUUUUUAUCCAUUUUGAUGACAAGUAUUUUCGGACGGAGGGAGUAGAAA